rnacentral:lncRNA from 1 species
CUGCCCUGUUGACACUGUGCACAAGCGACAUGGCUCUUGGGGUGCAGUUUGGCUCAACAUGGCUUAAUGUGGUGGGCACAUGGGCACCCAGAGAAAGAGAGAGCCAGCGCUGUCCUUCUUGUAGUUGGACAGGAGGGAGCAAGGACACAGCUUGGCUUGCUUGUGCCCUGAGAGAGAAGGAGUUAAGCUGCUGACCCGGAAGGCAAGGGAGAGCCGGUCACACAGCUGUGUGUGAGGGUGGCUGGCUUAGGCAGCCUAGACAGGGCAAACAGUGUAAGAGUAAGCUGCUAGUGAGAAAGCUGUUGAUGAAAACUGCUGUGAAUAAAACCAUAUUCACCUGACUAUGGCCCCCAGAGUGUUCCUUCUGCUCAUCCACCCACUCCCCUCGGACUGCAACAUGGGGUGGACCUGGAUCCCGGGAUCUGACAAUUGGUGAUGAGGAUGGGAUGAGGUGAGUGGGUCUUCAGCCCCUGAGGGCUCCUGGGCUGGCUGUAGCACCAAGGUGCAUAGCACCAAGGAAAAAUGUGCCUUUGCCAGCAGAGUCAGAUGGGCGUUGUGACUGGGUUGCAGGAUGUGCAUGCCCAGUACCUGCAGGAUGUCAUGCAGGGAGGAGGAAAAACCUCUGUUGCAGGCUCACCCAGUAAUCUGCCAAAAAAUAAAGCAUGAGCAGCUGUUGGGCUGCAAGGGGAGAGCCCGGGGACCAUACCUGCCUAUUGUGGUGGAGCACACUUCAUAGUGACUACAACCCCAGUGAGUUGUGGGAGUUUAAGCAAGUAAUGUCGGCAGUCACGUACAAACUUAGUGCAAGUCAUUCAGGAGAAGGACAUGGCUGUGCAACCUAGUCCCACCAGGACACUGCAGCUCAAGGACUAUUUGCAGACAGGCAGAGAUAUGAAGCCUUUUCUGUUUGAUAAGACAACUGGCCAAGGUGCCUGGCUUGCGGGACACUGGACGACGAGUGCCACAUGUGUGCUUGGCCAUCCACUGGUCUCUGAACCCAGAUAAGUUUCCAGGCAUAGCCGCAUUUAUUAAUGGCUAUGAAAGCUGGUCAGUGAAAGUGAAACCGGUGUCUUUGCACCUUGACAUCGGCCACUUGGCUCUGCACUUAUGCACUGUGUAUGUGUCUCCCAUGCCUGAGAAGAUUCUGGGGGUGGAUGUUUUGCACAGCUUGGCAGCUGCGCCGUCUAUCACAAACUUAAUGGACCAGUGGGCAAUGGAACUGGACAGUCCAUCAAGAUCCAGAAACAGUUUGCCUUCAUGGGAGGCUGACAAUGGACUUUCACAGUGUUGCUGCAGGGCUAUAUGCAUAGUACCAUCGUAUGUCAUGGUUUUGUUGGUGAUGUUAUAUUAACCUCUGAUUUUCUUGCAGGUUUAGAAGUGGCAACGCCCCUCUUGCCUGGGAUUGGGAUGAUGCAGCUGAAACAGUCUUUCCUGGUAGCCAAGCAGGCUAUUUAGCAGGCACAAGCCCUAUGGGUAGUUAACCAGGGGUGCCCAUUUAAACUUGAUGUGCAUGUAACCACAGAUAGUUUGGGCUAGGGCAUAGCCGUGCAUGGAGCGCUUGGGUGCGCCACUAGGCUAUUGUUAGUCCCAGCUGUGGAAGGGAGCUGAGCUCUAGUGUUCCUUAAUAAAGAAGCAGUUAGUAAUAGCAGGAUGGUUGUGUUCGUGAGUAACGACCCCCUGGGCUGGAAAAGCAGUUAGUAACUGUAUAUGCUGCCCUUCGGGCUCAUAAGAGCGUGGCAGGGUAGGUUACAGUCAUUGUGUGGAGUACUUACCAAUAGCAGAAUGGGUAUGUUCAUGUGUAACAACCCCCUGGACAGGGAUGGCACAGACACCCACUUUAGCAAAGUGGGGCACCUACUUACAGCAGUGGAGUACACUGAGUACAAGUCCCUUAGCAGCAGAAUUACAAGAAAUCUUGGGACCUGUAGUCUUAAUUCAAGAUAAGGCCAUGGGGCCUGAGGCACCCCUAGACCCUGAGCCUUCACCGUUAGGAUGGGCAUCCCCCCGUUCCUAAUAGGGUAUGGUAUACAGAUAGGUCUAGCCGGGGUGCUUCUGCUGCCUGACUGUUGUUGCAGCCCAGCCUAGUACUAACACCAUAUGGUAUGAAACCAGGUGUAAACAGAGUAGCUAAUGAGCUAACUCAGGGCAGUGUGAAUAAUAACCACCAAAAGGGUGACACCUGUGGUAAUCUGCACCAAUAGCUGGGCAGUUUAUCGAGGCUUAUGUAUGUCAUGGGCCUGUGUGCCUAAAGCCUACGUGUCAAGCUACUGUGUCAAGCCUGUGUGUGUAUAUCUGGCCUGUAUGCCCAAAGCCUACGGUCAGGCUAAUGUGUGUCAAACCUGUGUAUCCAAAACCUACGUCUCCCUCGGCCUGGGGGGGUGGAGUGUAAGGCAUAUGGACGUGCUUUGGUCAAGGAAUAGGCUGAGGUGGAUAUCCAGGCCUGCAUGAGUCCAGCGAGUUUGGUGUGCAGGCGCACACCUCCACUUGUUAUAUAACCUGUUUGUGUAAGUUCAUACUUGACUUGGAGCCACUAUUGUCUGUAAAAGGUAUAACUGCCCUGUUGACGCUGUGCACAAGUGACAUGGCUCUUAGGCUCUUGGGGCUCAGCUUGGCUCAACAUGGCUUAACAUGGUGGGUGCCAGGGUGCCCAGAGAAAGAAAGAGCCAAAGCUAUCCAUCUAUGCAGACAGACAGGAGGGAGCUAGGACACAGCUUGGUUUGCUUGUGCCCAGAGAGAGAAAGAGAGUUAAGCUGCUGAUCCUGAAGGCAAGGGAGAGCCAGCCACGCAGCUGUGUGUGAGGGUGGCUGGCUCAAGCAGCCUAGACAAGGCGAACAGUGUAAGAGUAAGCUGCUAGUGAGAAAGCUGUUGAUGAAAACUGCUGUGAAUAAAACCAUAUUCACCUGCCUACGGCCCCCCGGAGUGUUCCUUCUGCUCAUCCACCCACUCCCCUUGGAAUGCAGCAUGGGCUGGACCUGGACCCCAGGAUCUGAGAGUGGAUUACCU